rnacentral:rRNA from 1 species
GCAGCGCGGGGCAACCUGGCGGCGAAGUGGCGAACGGGUGAGUAAUAUAUYCGGAACGUACCCAGAGUGGGGGAUAACGUAGCGAAAGUUACGCUAAUACCGCAUACGAUCUAAGGAUGAAAGCAGGGGAUCUUCGGACCUUGUGCUCCUGGAGCGGCCGAUAUCUGAUUAGCUAGUUGGUGAGGUAAAGGCUCACCAAGGCCACGAUCAGUAGCUGGUCUGAGAGGACGACCAGCCACACUGGAACUGAGACACGGUCCAGACUCCUACGGGAGGCAGCAGUGGGGAAUUUUGGACAAUGGGCGAAAGCCUGAUCCAGCAAUGCCGCGUGAGUGAAGAAGGCCUUCGGGUUGUAAAGCUCUUUUGUCAGGGAAGAAACGGUGAGGGCUAAUAUCCUUCGCUAAUGACGGUACCUGAAGAAUAAGCACCGGCUAACUACGUGCCG